UAUAGGUUACAGAUAGGUAGAGAGGCUAUUUAGGUUUAUAGGUAGAGAAGUUUAGCCAUUGGUUCAUUGUUCACUACGUCGAUUUUUGGGUUCACUACCUGUGAUUUCGUGUUCGGUCGUUCGAUUUCGGGUCUGUUCGAUUAGUUUAAGUUCUCGAUUGGGUUGUCUGUUCAUCGUGUUCUCGAUUGGGUUGUUUGUUCAUCGUGUUUUCGGGUUCCAAUUCCAAACGUUCUUUUCUCUUAUAGCUGUGAUUUCGUGUUCUGUCGUUCGUUCGAUUACUGUGCGUUUUCGAUUCGGUUGUCUGUUCAUCGUGUUUUCGAUUGGGCUGUCUAUUCAUCGUGUUUUUGGGUUCGCUGAGAUUUUCGAGUUCAGAUCCUGAACGUUCUUUCAUUCGAUUAGUUCGAGUUUUCGAUUAGGUUGUUUGUUCAUCGUUCUGUUUUCGUCGUUCAUCGUUCGGCAUGUCGACGGGGUAGGGUAUGUCGUUGUAUUUUCUUGUUCUUCUUUCUCUUCGUCGACGGGGUUUGGGUUUGGGUUCGGUACUUUGACGUGUUUUCUGGUUUGCCUACAUCUAGUUCGCUUGACUUCGAUUCAACCUAUGUACAAAUUAGGUUACUUCCAAGUUAGGUUAGGGUUCACAUAAGCUACUUCCGAGUUGGGCUGUACAAAUUAGGCCUAAUCUGUGAAUUGGCAAAAACCACUGUAACCCGGAAGUGUUUUUUAGUCUUUAAGAUUGGCUCCGCAAUAUCCAGAACGAUUUCACAUGACGGAUUCGAGGAUGUCAUCCGUUUGUCGCCUGAAGUACCUAGAUUUGUUUUACUCAGUCACAUGCCUCUGAUACCCGAAAAAGUCUACUACAGAAGAUCUUGGCACUUUAAAUAUACUCAAUCACUAAGAUUGGUUUAUUUGAGUUAGUUGUAAGUUAAAGGUAUUUUCACUUACAACUCUAGACUCUUCACUGUCUUCAACUCCAGCGCGAUGCUAAAGUUCUCGGCGAAAACUAUCGGCGAUGGUUCGAAAACUAGAGACGGGUGGAUGCUCGACUAACGGCGACGGAGUACGUCGUCAGCAGCGGCAUUUCAAGGAAGGCAAUGGGUUGCGAUAUCAGAAGGUAGAAGCAAUGUAUUCGUUUGAUUGUUAAAAAAGUAAGUAAAUGGGUUUGGUUGCUAACUUUCUACAACAUCGAAUUCGGAUUAUUCCGAUUAUUUAUUAUUCGGAUCUAAUGGCGGUAGAAAAUUUAUAUGUAAAGGAAGAUCCGGUAAAUUAAUACAGUGGUAAGUAAUUAGCGAUUUACUAAUCCAUCACUAUAAAAAGAAUUAAGUGCUAAUUAAGGUUUUUAAUUAAGAAAUAAAUUCUGUUUAUUAUUAUUCUCCGGCGCCGGCGAUCACCAUACGACUGAGGCGGCUGGGACCAAGCUUUCCUCUCCUCUGCGAAAUCCUUCGUCUAAUGAUAUCCACCUCACUCCUCCUCCUGAUCCGCAUCAUUGAUUCUUCUUCCACCACAAAUCUCCGCAUGAGAACGUCAUCCCUAAGCGAUUUCCCGCGGAAGAUCCUCCGGGUUCGUUCAACCGACGACCUCGACGGGACCGCCACAGACUUCGAUCUCGUGUAACUGUUGCUUCUUCUCGGAGUAGCGUCAGAUCGGAAGCUUUCGCCUUGGGAGGUGGAGGAGAUCGGAGCACACAGACACACAUGCGUGAGUGAGGUUGCUAUUCGCAACGACGAGCAUUUUUUUAGCUUCGAUCUGGUGGAAUGGGAAGGAAUUGGGGUUUUUCUCUCCGUAGGUUUCCAUAUCUUGAUUGCUUCUACUACUCUUCUGUAUCGUGUCUUCCUCGAGUCCGAUCUGAUUGGUUGAUUGAUUGAUCAUCGGCAACAAUUAACAACCGUUAGAAACUCCAAAUCUGAAGAAUCAAAGAAACAAACCAAAUCCGAUCAUCAUACAUUCAUACCUGGAGGAAGGUCGUGGAGGAGUCUGGUCCUGCAAGAACAGCAAAUGGAGGAACAUCUGUCGAUGGAAGAUGAGAGGUAUGGAGUUCAUCUUCGGAAUCAGAUAGAGAGGAGUUAUAUUAAUCAAACCGGAGAAGAAGGUAAAACAGAUCAGAAAUCAUUUCCCUUUUCUUUCUUUUUUGUGGGAAUCUUCUGCUUUGGCAGAUAAGAACACUCUUUUUUGAAUGGUAAGCUCGAUCAGGCAGACAGACAAAAACAGACUGCCAGAUUUGAAUUUCCAAAGAAAAAAGUGGAUUGAUCUCCAAAACCACUUUUGCUUUUUUGUUUUUUUGGAAUUCAAAGAAAACAAUCUCUGUCAAAUCUCUGUAAAAAACUAAAAAACAAUCAUUGCAACAAAUUAAGAACAGAAUCAAUCCAUUUCUUCCAUAUUGACUGUUGUGUUGCUUAUGUACUACAGUACAGCUCAGGAUGGGGGAGGGAGCAAAGACCAGCCAUUCCAUUUCCAACAGGUAUGGUAGAGCAAUUUGAUUUAUGAUUUUGCUUUAGUUUAAAUUGUCAGAAAUCAAUCUAAGAGCCACCCAUCAUUAAAGUUUUUCAGAAUAUUCUUUGCCUCUUUAACAAAACUUCAUUGACAGAUUAACUCAACUAAUCAUAGUAAUUAUUAAAGUUUCUAAAAAUUCAUAGUUCAGAGAAUUUUUCGCUUUUUUGAACUAUGAUUAGAAAUUUAGCAUCAACCUGACUGAUGAUACCCUCGGCCACUGAAGUGAUCCAAGAAUAAAAUCAGUAGACCCAACCUAAUACAACAGUCUAGGAACGUCCCUAAAUCAGUAGAUUUCUUCUUUAAAUUAGAAUGAUCUCUUCUUUAAAUUUCUAGAUUUCUCAAAAUUCACAAACUCAUAUUUCACUAUGUGAAAAUAAUGGUUAUAUGAUCAAAUCAUCUAUCAAAUAUUCAAGUCAGUUUGAAUUUUGGACAAAAAAUGAGGAUUUUCAACAAAUAUCAUGUUUUACAAAGGUAUGAGAAAAUAUAUAUCAUAUUAUAUAUACCUUGUAUUCUUUGAAUAAUGGUACAACCACUGAAUAAUAAACAUGUCUGCAAACAAACCUAGAAUUUCUGCUAGAAGUGAAACUCAUUUAUAGAAUAUAAGUACUAAUUUAAUCACUAGAGCACCAAAGGUGGAGGGAGACUGGAGAUACUGUAAUCAAUCACCUCUACUAUGUUAUGGGUGGGGUAAACAAUCUAAUUGGCUGUACCUUUUUUUUCUGGAAUCUCACUGAGUCUUUGGUCUAGAUGGUGUCACUUUUGCAAGGGUCGACCGUUCAGAUUGUGAGAAGAGAAUGAGCAUGUACAUAAUAGCAGUGACUAAUAAUAAACCGCCGCCCGAUAAUGAAAUGCCUUUCCAUGUCGACAGGAGGGAUGACCAUUUAAAAAAAUGGUACAUAGAAAACGCAAGGAGAGCGGACCAAAACACAACGACCUGUUUGUUCGAAAGAAAUACAAUUAGUUCGAAAAUAUCAAAUAUAGAAUAUUUCAGGCAGAGCACAGAUUGGAAGAGUGCAACUGUGCAAGUGUUCGUGACUUCUUUUAGUGCUAUGUUUUACAAUUUAAAUUGAAAUUUUAUUAUUGAACUUGAACCUUCUUGCUAUUAUUAAAUUUAUCCAUUAUUUGAUAAUUGAUUCCUUUCAGAAAAUGAUAGUACUGAUUCAUCAUAUCAUAAUAAUUAAUUACCAGCAAAGACUUUAUUGGUCGGCCAAUAAGAUGGUGUUUUUCUGCAAAACUACCAUCAGCAAAAUGUUUGUCCAGUAAAGAAUCCUGGCAAUACAAAAGAACAAUGAUGGUAAGACUAUUUAGAUUGAUAGACUUCAUUAUAAUUAUUUAUCUGUAACUAUCAAUGAAAAUUAGCGUUAGUUAAUCACAUUGUAAUAAUCUAGAAUGCAAACUAGAAGUCAUCUUUUCUUUAACUGUUCUUAUUCCAGAUCUCUCUUAAUUCCGUUAGCGGAACAUUUGGAUUUCGUUUUCUGGAAAAUAAUGAAUAUUCCAGUUUCCACCCAAUCCAGUCCAGAUAUUGGGGGAUCUGACGGAGGCAGCACAAAAGAUUACGCACCACUCUCCCCCUUGGGGGCUAAUAUGGAAUGCUAUUGGGUGCUUGUCGUGGCAUAUAUGGACAGAAAGAAAUAAAAGGUAUAGACAAUACAUUAGUAGGCCUCCUGAGGUAGUCCUUAAGGAGGUCAUUAAAGACAUCAGUUUCUCCUUUGAUUCAGUGUAUUACAAGAAGAGUUGUUGUCACCCUUUGGAGACAUUUAUGAUGGAAGGAAGUAUGGGAGACCAACCUCCUGAGGCAGCGUAUCUAGUUACUAUAUAAAUAGACUACAUAGCUAAUGGGAGAGAAUCAAUGAGCUUUUUGCUCAUUUCUUUUUUACUUCUGUUUUUAUUUCUAUACUCUAUUUUUUGUAAACUUAGCAUUAGCCUUAUUCUAAUGAAAUUUAAUUGCUUCAAAAAAAAAAUCUAGAAUGUUCCAUUGGGUAAAAGAUUACAUGAUCAGUUAGAUCAGUAAUGGUACCUUCAAGUGUAUAAAUAAAUUAUUAAGUUCUAUAUGAGAAGCAUCAAGUAUCACAUCCCCCCGACCCCCAUUAAUAGUAACAGACUUCAAUUAUGAUAACCAUUUCAUUUAUUUAGCAUAAUUAAAAAAAAUAUGAAGCUGAAAAUAGUCUAAAAAUUUAAG
rnacentral:lncRNA from 1 species